rnacentral:rRNA from 1 species
ACCAGCGGCGAUAGAACGUUGAAUGCACCAGUUCCCCACGGAUCACUUCAGUUAAGCAACGUUGCGCGUGGUUAGUAUCUGGAUGGGUGACCAUCUGGGGAACCUGCGUGCUGCUGGGU